AAAAAAAAAAGAAUAGGUAAAAGAAAAACACAGAGUAUGCUGUUUUACAGAUGAAAAGGCCAGUUAUUUGAGACGUUAAGUGACUUGCUCAAGGCUGAAAACUGACAAUCUAAAAAUAAAGUCCAAUGGGUUUCUAUAAAACUGGUUUUAUAGAAAGCGCAUUCUCAUCUCCAGAAAUUUAAGAAAUUAAUUUCAACUUUUUUCAAAGCAAACUACACCUCUGUAACCAAGAGAGAGUCUUAAGUUAAAGCGUAGGUAUUAACUGAAAUCUAGAUUUUCUAAUUAAUUUGGUUUGAGUCCAUCUAGAUGCUUGAAAGUGAUAGUAUGUUGAGAUGUAUAAAAUGGACAUUUAUUUCAUACCAUUUUAAAGCUUUUCUUCCACUACAAGUACACUCAUAGCACAUGUAACACCCACAUUGCACAAAGCAAGCUGUGAUAUAUAUGCAGAUUGUAAAACAAAGAAAUUAUAAAAACUGGCAUUAGAAAAGUCUAUCAAAACCUAUUAACAAAAAAACAAUUUUUAAUCCCCAAGCUUUAAAGACCGGAGCCAAUAAGCAAUAGAUCAUAUUCUUAGAAGCACAAUCUCUUGCCCCAUGUGGUACAAAAAGCUUAUCACUAUCACUGCACCAGAACCAUACAGACCCAAUCACUAGAGCCAGAACUAGAAGGUCCCACCCUGAACCAACUUUAAUCACCCUUUUCUAGGAAAAAAUAGCUUACCAGUUAAUAUUCAUCUGACCCAGCCAUUCCUCAAGGCUUCUAGUUUUAAAUUAAAGACUAAAGUGACAACAUAUUUAAAUAAAUGAUCUACAUAAAAGAUUUAAAUAAACAAUGUGAUCGAGUGAUUGCAAGUCUGAAAAAACAGAUAUUAAUAGCACAUGCCAUGAUUUUGUAUAAUUAAAAUAAAAGUAUAUUUUUUACUGAGAAAACAGAUACACUAUUUCUAUUUCAAUCCCCAGACACAAAAUUAAGACUAUAACAUAAAAGAAAUCAAGUCAGAGGAAAAAAAGUGUGACCUAGGUAAUUUCCAUUUUAACUCCAUCAUUUAACCCCACAUUUGUGAAGAACACAAUUAAUUCUAUGAUCUCCACAAAAGUUAUUCCUGAAGUUUUACAUAUGACAAAAUUGAGUUAUUCUUUCAAAAUAAUCUCACACAUAGUAAAGCUAUUUCAAAGAACCCUUAAUGAAUUUUCUUCUAACUGAAAUAACUCUAAUUUACGUGCUCUAAAAGCAUGGGAGAGAAACUUUUCAUACCAGUUAUAUACCAGUCUAUAAACAAGUAGUUCUCUUACAAGACUAUGUAUAAAAAGUAAACAACCCUUAUUUGGCUUCUUUCAAGAUGUCACCACCAGUGCUAACAAUCUAUUACAAGAGACAAACCAAACAUCACCUUGAUUUUUAUUCAUAUUAGCAUCUUGUAUAUCUUUGGUGUUCUCAGUGAUAACUAGGAAAACUAUUCAGUUUCUCACAAUAAUGAAAAUUAAGGUAAGCAAAACCAGAGCCCCACAUGUUUUGAACAUGAAAUGGAAGGAAGAUCUGAAAUGUUUUUUAAUUGAGCCAUGGGAUGGAAGACAGGAGGCAGGCAAAGGUAGUCACUAGACUACAGCCCCAAACUUCUUUCAUAUUCAAAUCAUCUUAUUCCUACUUUCUUGAAAUGUGGCAUUAAUUUCUAUUUAAUUUUUUUUUAAUACAGUGGUCUUAAGCUACUUUGGGAUGUCUUAAAACAACAGUUCUGUACAAAAUAUGUACAGCUAAAGGGCUGUGGGGAUCAGGUACCAAAAUACACUUUCACCUAUAUAUAAAACAUACCCAAAGCUGCUACUCCACUUUACCUGAAAUAAAAACAAGACACUUGUUUGUUAUUAUUGACAAGCCCAUUUCAAUUUAGAAAACAAGCCACAGUUUCAAUUCCUUGGAGAUCACAUAAAAUGAAGUUCCUCUGCCUGCUUUUGAGGCUCUGUUCUAGAGACCUACACUACCUAAUUACUUCGCCACCCUCUAUUUUCUCCAAAAUGAGACAGAAUCCAGCCCCUGCCUAUACCCACUAACAUUCUUCCUCUGUUCUUAAAGUCCUACUCAUUUCUUCCAGGAUCUGCUCAAGGGCCAUCUCUAUGAAGCCUUCUCUGACUGAUAUCCCUAUCCUAUGAUACUUGAUAUGCAAUUAUAUCAUAAUCAACAAAGACUAAAGAUAUUUUAUUUGUUAACAGUACUGGGGCAUGCUUAAUGUAUAUGAGGUUCACUUUUCAUAUCAUUUGGAAAUUAUAUGAAAGAGAAUAUGAUGAAAACUUUGGAUGUGGGAUCUUCCCAUCCUUGCUACUAUUUUGGUUUAUCCUGAAAUCACUGGGUAAAGCUUGGGUAGUAGGGAAACUAAAAAGUAGAAAAACUGUAGAGACGGUUGGUCAAGGUCUUUACUAGCUUCAAGAGUUAACUUUACAGGCCUAAAAUGAAAAGGCAGUGGAGGAAAUCAAAGAAAACAAGCAAAAUCUUCAUUCCUAUUUAGCUUUCUGAAAAAAAAAGAUUGCUCAACUUGAAGGUCAGGACCACCUGAAGUCCCUGCGGUCUAUUUGUGUAGUGCUUAUCUGCGAGAGCAGACAGAAGGCACACACACAGAAGAGUUCCAAAAGGCCUCAGAGGAUCAUUUUUAGGAGCUUUCAGUUGUUGUCUGAUUCACGUUUAGCUGGGAGCCUUCUCCAUUACAGAUAACUACAUUAUCAGAGGCAAAUAAAUGCCACCUCUUAGGGCAGAGUUAGCUGAGUUGUUUGCUAUCCAACAAUCUUCAGCACAGGCUAGGUUCACAGCCACCACUACAAUGUUCUUGUCAGAACAUUCCAUCAAAGAAAAGUUAAAGGAUGCUAUGCUAUAUAUAGACUUUUGGAAAAUAUUUCAUGUCAAUGACAAAAUUUUUUUAAUUCUGGAUUUUCUUGUGAAGCAUAUUGAGUUUAUUAUAAUCCAAAAUUGAGGGCGGGGGCGGGGGAGAACAGCAGGGCAAACAAGUAUGCUUUAGAUAGCCUAACCUUAAUUUUCAAAGCAGAAAAUCAGGGACCUCCCUGGCAGUCCAGUGGUAAAGACUCUGAGCUUCCACUGUAGGGGAAGUGGGUUCGAUCACUGGUCAGGGAAAUAAGAUACCACCAAAAAAAAAAAAAAAAAAAAAAAAAAGGUAGAAAACCACUUCUGGAAAUCACCUUAAAUGUCUUUGUCAAUAAGGUCAAACUCCCUAGCUCAGAGACCACAGAAUCAGCAUCUAGUAUUCCAAAGUCCUAUCGAAGCCUAGAAUAAAGGUGUCCAAAUACUUUUUUAACAGGGCAACUAUUUCCUACUUCAGUCUGCUCCGAAAAAAGCAGCAGCAGUCAGUUUCCUUGGUAUACCCAAAGUCGCCACAAGCAGUAGGCAGAGGGAAGACGUUAACCCGAGUCAAGUCACAACUUACCCACCCUCCCCACUACGAGCUUAGAAAGCUGCUCACCCGAAAAACAGUGACACAAUGGGCCUCUAAGCCCAUUUAUACCAUACGGCACAGCCUUUUUGUACCAUAUCCCUAAUUUCCUGAAGGCAAAAGCCGAUUCCAAUCCAAAUAGCUUUUAUUUAGCCUCUAGACCAUAGCUUUCACAAAGUGUAAGUCUUAUUCCUACGGUCUCCCAUCUGUUAGUGAGGAGGGCCUAGCAAUCCGAAUAUUCUUAAUAUGAACACCUGCGGCUUUCAGUCGGCUUCUGCCUUGGGAAAACUGAGAACCCACACACAAGGCCAACGGGCAGCGCUGAAAUAUCAGGUUGUACUAGAGUUCAAAUAUACACCUUAUAGAAACCCCCGCCUAAAUGCCCAGGACACAGUCGUAAUGCAGUCGAGGACAGCAAUGAGACCAGGGCCCGGGCGGGCCCCGAGGAAUCCAAGGGCUACGAGCUCAAGGUCACCGACGCACCGCGACAGCCAUUCCCUGGGAACUCUUCCUAGAGCGGCCACGUGCUCCCCGCAGAGCGGCUCUGCGCUGCGGCAGCGUGGCUCACCCCUCGCUCCCGAGCCCUCAGGCUAGGGCUGUCCCACGAGGGCCUGCAUCUUUUAAGGGCAAGCUACUGAGGACAAGGGAUCCGGGUGGCCUGAGGAGCCGGAAGAAGCAUGGCGGGGCGCAGAGCGACAGUGGGGCACCCCUCAUCUCGCCCUCAGGGCCCUAACAGAAUCCAUUCGCUGGUCUGGGGCCGAGAGGAGGAGGGCACCAAGAGGAAGAGAAAGGUGCCUGCUGGAUGCCCCCACCUGGAUGACCCACUCAAGUUCAACCUGUCCCGAAGAGAACCCAACACCUUCCUCCCCAAACUUGGUGCCCCUGCCUCCUGUCUUCCCUGCUCUGUGACACUGUGCUUUACAGAUUCUGGGGACAGUCCUGGGGACUCUCCCACAGUCACCUGUUGGUGCUCAAAAAUGUUUAUUGAAUGGAGCUCCUAAAACAAACUGCAUUUACAAAAGUACAUCGGUGGGUACCAGAGUGCACAGAACGUAGUCGAAAGGGAGACACCCCAGACUAACAGGUCCCUUGAGCAUCAGAGGCUUGGAAAAAAGAUCCUCAGUGGCCAUCUCAUCCCUCCCCAUAGUGUACAGAUGCACAAACUGAAGUCCAGUGAGCCCCUAUGAAGAGGAGUAGUUUCUGGGCUUCCCUGGUGGCACAGUGGUUAGGAAUCCGCCUGCCAAUGCAGGGGACACAGGUUCAAGCCUCGGUUCAGGAAGAUCCCACAUGCUGCAGAGCAGCUAGGCCCAUGCACCACAACUACUGAGCCUGCUCUCUAAAGCCCGUGAGCCACAACUAAUGAGCCCAUGUGCCACAACAACUGAAGCCCGCGCCUAGAGCCCAUACUCUGCAACAAGAGAAGCCACCACAAUGAGAAGACCGUGCACCACAACGAAGAAUAGCCCCCGCUCUCCCCAACUAGAGAAAGCCCGCACGCAGCAAUGAAGACACAAGGCAGCCAAAAGAAAGAAAGAAAGAAAAAAAACUAAAAAUAGAAUAUCAUAUGACCCAGGAAUUCCACUCCAGGGUAUAUAUCUGAAAAAAACAAAGACACUAAUUUGAAAAGAUGCAUGUACCCCAAUGUUCAUAGCAGCAUUAUUUACAAUUGCCAAGACAUGGAAGCAACCUAAGUGCCCAUCAACAGAUAAAUGGGUAAAGAAGAUGUGAUAUGCGCGUACACACAUGCGCGCACACAAUGGAAUGCUAGUCAGCCAUAAAAAAGAAUGAAAUUUUGCCAUUCGCAGCAACAUUGAUGGACUUGGAGGGCAUUAUGCUAAGUAAAAUAAGUCAGGCAGAGAAAGACAAAUACUGUAUGAUAUCAUUCAUACGUGGAAUCUAAAAACUACAGCAAACUAGUGAAUAAAACAGAAAAGAAGCAGACUCAGAUACAGACAGCAAACUAGUGGUUGGUUACCAGUGAAGGGGGGGGCAGUAUAGGGGUAGGGGAGUAAGAAGUACAAACUAUUAGGUAUAAAAUAAGCUACAAGGAUAUA